rnacentral:rRNA from 1 species
GACCUGGCUGGGCGGUCUUGCCGAAAGGUAAGCACUGCUCUGGUCGGGUCUUUCCUUCUGGGGAACCUGCGUGCUAUUAACUUAGUGCGCAGGGGAUCCAGGACUUUUACUUUGAAAAAAUUAGAGUGUUUAAAGCAGGCAUACGCUUGAAUACAUUAGCAUGGAAUAAUAGAAUAGGAC